GGAGCAAUUCAGGUGAUUGAUCCAGUGGUACACUGGAUAGGAAAGUCCGAACAUUGGAGUCCCGCAAGGGACAGAAAGGGUAGUCGUUAACGGCGACCUAGGCUAUUGGUAUGCAUUCUAUGUAUCGAUCGGGAAGCGUUUUUACGCUUUUCUCUCGACAUAUUUUCGCAGCCGAAACACCUACGGGAUAGUGCCGCAACCCAUACACGGGUUUUGGUUUCGCUGCUCAAUAGCAGGGAAGCAACAGAAAAGUCCUUUUUGAGGGAGUCUCGCACAUGUGCGGGAUAAGAUACCGCCCAGAUACUUAUUUGGGUAAGGGUGAAAUGGUGUGGAUACUCAAUGAAGAGUUGACGCUUGAAGAAUUGCACAAGGGAAUUUGUUCUUUUUAAUCACCCAGCACGAAGCUUGAAUAGAAGUUAAACGAAAGUACAAUUUCUAUCAAAGUUAGUGCUGGAUGAAUUGUGAGUACGUCCCGUGCAAUUCUAUUCAAGGGGUAAGAGCGCACCAGUGCAUACAGUGAUGUGGCAGCUUGGCAAACACCUACCAGAUGCAAGAGCUCAUACGCUCGCAUGACCUUUUGAGCAAUCAAGAGGCUAGAGAGAUGAUCACCAUCCCGAUAAUUAUCGGGAUACAGAAUUCGGCUUAUCGAAUUGUUCCGUGU
rnacentral:RNase_P_RNA from 1 species